AAACCAACAGGGAUUGCCCUAGUAACGGCGAGUGAAGCGGCAACAGCUCAAAUUUGAAAUCUGGCUUCGGCCCGAGUUGUAAUUUGUAGAGGAUGCUUUGGGCGCGGCUCCAACUGAGUUCCCUGGAACGGGACGCCACAGAGGGUGAGAGCCCCGUAUAGUUGGAUGCCUAGCCUAUGUAAAGCUCCUUCGACGAGUCGAGUAGUUUGGGAAUGCUGCUCAAAAUGGGAGGUAAAUUUCUUCUAAAGCUAAAUAUUGGCCAGAGACCGAUAGCGCACAAGUAGAGUGAUCGAAAGAUGAAAAGCACUUUGAAAAGAGGGUUAAAUAGCACGUGAAAUUGUUGAAAGGGAAGCGCUUGUGACCAGACUUGCGCCGGGCGGAUCAUCCGGUGUUCUCACCGGUGCACUCCGCCCGGCUCAGGCCAGCAUCGGUUCUCGUGGGGGGAUAAAGGCCUCGGGAACGUAGCUCCUCCGGGAGUGUUAUAGCCCGGGGCGUAAUGCCCUCGCGGGGACCGAGGUUCGCGCAUCUGCAAGGAUGCUGGCGUAAUGGUCAUCAGCGACCCGUCUUGAAACACGGACCAAGGAGUCAAGGUUUUGCGCGAGUGUUUGGGUGUUAAACCCGCACGCGUAAUGAAAGUGAACGUAGGUGAGAGCUUCGGCGCAUCAUCGACCGAUCCUGAUGUAUUCGGAUGGAUUUGAGUAAGAGCGUUAAGCCUUGGACCCGAAAGAUGGUGAACUAUGCUUGGAUAGGGUGAAGCCAGAGGAAACUCUGGUGGAGGCUCGCAGCGGUUCUGACGUGCAAAUCGAUCGUCAAAUCUGAGCAUGGGGGCGAAAGACUAAUCGAACCAUCUAGUAGCUGGUUACCGCCGAAGUUUCCCUCAGGAUAGCAGUGUUGUUCUUCAGUUUUAUGAGGUAAAGCGAAUGAUUAGGGACUCGGGGGCGCUUUUUAGCCUUCAUCCAUUCUCAAACUUUAAAUAUGUAAGAAGCCCUUGUUACUUAAUUGAACGUGGGCAUUCGAAUGUACCAACACUAGUGGGCCAUUUUUGGUAAG
rnacentral:rRNA from 2 species